rnacentral:rRNA from 1 species
AGAGUUUGAUCCUGGCUCAGGAUGAACGCUGGCGGCGUGCCUAACACAUGCAAGUCGAGCGGCAGCGCGAGUAGUUUACUACUUGGCGGCGAGCGGCGAACGGCUGAGUAACGCGUGGGAAUUUGCCCCAAAGUGAGGAAUAACUGCCCGAAAGGGUGGCUAAUGCCGCAUAUGAUCUUCGGAUUAAAGGAUUUAUCCGCUUUGGGAGAAGCCCGCGUCGGAUUAGGUAGUUGGUGAGGUAAUGGCUCACCAAGCCGACGAUCCGUAGCUGGUCUGAGAGGAUGACCAGCCAGACUGGAACUGAGACACGGUCCAGACUCCUACGGGAGGCAGCAGUGAGGAAUCUUCCACAAUGGGCGAAAGCCUGAUGGAGCAACGCCGCGUGCAGGAUGAAGGCCUUCGGGUUGUAAACUGCUUUUAUAAGUGAGGAAUAUGACGGUAGCUUAUGAAUAAGGAUCGGCUAACUACGUGCCAGCAGCCGCGGUCAUACGUAGGAUCCGAGCGUUAUCCGGAGUGACUGGGCGUAAAGAGUUGCGUAGGCGGUUUGUUAAGUGAAUAGUGAAAUCUGGUGGCUCAACCAUACAGGCUAUUAUUCAAACUGGCAAACUCGAGAGUGGUAGAGGUCACUGGAAUUUCUUGUGUAGGAGUGAAAUCCGUAGAUAUAAGAAGGAACACCGAUGGCGUAGGCAGGUGACUGGACCAUUUCUGACGCUAAGGCACGAAAGCGUGGGGAGCGAACCGGAUUAGAUACCCGGGUAGUCCACGCCGUAAACGAUGGAUACUGGCUGUUGGAGGUAUCGACCCCUUCAGUAGCGAAGCUAACGCGUUAAGUAUCCCGCCUGUGGAGUACGGCCGCAAGGCUAAAACAUAAAGGAAUUGACGGGGAC